ACAGUGAUGACCGAGGCUGCAGAGUCACAAGCUGUUUCUCCAUUUAAGGUCCAAACUGAGAAGACUGGACAAAAGCUGAGCCAGAUGGAGGACACUGAUAUAAGGCAGGACCACUUAUCUGUCACUCCUGUCUGGCCACAUAGAGUAAGCCAGCUCUGGAUGUAUUUUACAAUUCACCUUCAUUCUACCAGUAACAGAGAGAGGCUCCAUGAGGCCUUGUUCCUUCAGACAUAAGCAGCUAUAUGAUGACAAAUGGACUGUGAAUGCUGAUAACUGAAAUGAUACCAAGUCACAGCCUCCCAAUGAAGUGAGAAGUUAAGAUUGAAACAUUUGGAUUUCUAGAGCUCCGGGACCACCUUGUCAGAUCACAAAUCAAGGGUUAAUCUCUGCAGCAAAUGAUAUUUAGAUUCUACUAUAUUUAUCUUGGAACGCUAGGACGUAAGCCCACGGAAGGUGGAUACUAACCUUUCUCAACCGCCAUACUGUCUGGGCACCAGUUAUGAGGAAAAGUGAAAGUUAGAAUUAUGUUCUUCAAUUAAAGAAGAUCUCAGAAGAUGGAAAGAUCUCCCAUGCUCAUGGAUUGGCAGGAUCAACAUUGUAAAAAU
rnacentral:lncRNA from 1 species